rnacentral:rRNA from 1 species
CGCAAUGGGCGAAAGCCUGACGGAGCGACACCGCGUGAAGGAUGAAGCCUUUGUUGGUGUAAACUUCUUUUCUCUCGGAAGAUAAUGACGGUACGAGAGGAAUAAGGGGCGGCAAACUUCGUGCCAGCAGCCGCGGUAAUACGAAGGCCCCAAGCGUUAUCCGGAAUUACUGGGCGUAAAGCGUCUGUAGGUGGUUUCUUAAGUCUUACCGUGAAACUUCGGGGCUCAACCCUGAAUUGCGGGAGAAACUGGGAGACUUGAGUGUGGGAGAGGCUAGCAGAACGGUAAGAGUAGGGGUGCAAUCCGUUGAUACUUACCAGAAUACCAAAAGCGAAGGCAGCUAGCUGGAACACUACUGACACUGAGAGACGAAAGCGU